rnacentral:rRNA from 1 species
GGGAUACAGCAGUAAUUAAAAUUAAGCAAUAAACGAAAGUUUGACUAAGUUAUGCAACAUUAUAUAGGGUUGGUAAAUUUCGUGCCAGCCACCGCGGUCAUACGAUUAACCCUAAUUAAUAAAGCCCGGCGUAAAGAGUGUUAAAAUUACAAAAACAAUAAGAUUAAAUUUUACCUAAGUCGUAAAAAACAACAGAUAAAAAUAAAAUCAUAAACGAAAGUAAUCUUAAUAGAUCUGAAUACACUAAAGCUAAGACCCAAACUGGGAUUAGAUACCCCACUAUGCUUAGCCAUAAACAAAGAUAUUUAAUAACAAAAAUUUUCGCCAGAGUACUACUAGCAACAGCUUAAAACUCAAAGGACUUGGCGGUGCUUUAAACCCACCUAGAGGAGCCUGUUCUAUAAUCGAUAAACCCCGAUAUACCUUACCACUUCUUGCUAAUCCAGUCUAUAUACCGCCAUCUCCAGCAAACCCCAACAGGGAUUAAAAGUAAGCACAACUAUACUCGUAAAAACGUUAGGUCAAGGUGUAACUAAUGAAGUGGAAAGCAAUGGGCUACAUUUUCUUCUUCCAAGAAAACAACAACAGUAAUCUUUAUGAAAUUAAAGAUUUAAGGAGGAUUUAGUAGUAAAUUAAGAAUAGAGAGCUUAAUUGAAUUAGGCAAUAAAGCACGCACACACC